AUGAUUUCUCCGCCAAACCCAUAACUGGUAACCCUUACUGGCUCUCUGCCAAAUCCUCACCGGCCAACUCAAUUACUCAGUUCCCACCCUUCUACGAAAACAAUCCUUACAGCUAUGCUAACUCCAACACAAAUCCAUCACCACCGUAUCUUUCUCUUCCAUAUAUAGGCCCAGGUAGAGAGAAAGAAAACAGGCGUAAAGAAAGCUUCGCCGUCUUCUUCUUCUUCUUCUUCUUCUUCUUCUUCUUCUUAUCCAGGGAGGUACGGAGCAGGCUACGCGGAGAAGAAAUGUCUGGUUGAUUCCACUUCUCUUCAGCCGCUGAAUGGUGAGAAAGAUGGCUAAGGGAAAGGGUUAAGUGCAGUAGAGCCUGAGUCUAGGGUAGCUUAUGUACAGCGAUACCUCAACUGAAAGAUCCGUAGGCAUGCUAAGGGCGUGAAGAUAGACUUUAGGUGUGUUUUACCUUUUUAUUGUGCCCUCUGUGUUGUGAGUUGUAUGAGAAGAUAGGUCAUGAAGGCUAAUGUUAUGAGUAGGAGUUGUAAUAAAUUUUGUGGCCUUGCCUUUGGGGCAACAAUAAAGAAGGUCGUUUUGAUUCCAUUGUA